UACGGAGGGGGCAAGCGUUGUCCGGAUUUACUGGGCGUAAAGGAUGCGUAGGCGGACAUUUAAGUCAGAUGUGAAAUACCCGAGCUUAACUUGGGUGCUGCAUUUGAAACUGGGUGUCUAGAGUGCAGGAGAGGUAAGUGGAAUUCCUAGUGUAGCGGUGAAAUGCGUAGAGAUUAGGAAGAACACCAGUGGCGAAGGCGACUUACUGGACUGUAACUGACGCUGAGGCAUGAAAGCGUGGGGAGCAAACAGG
rnacentral:rRNA from 1 species